rnacentral:rRNA from 1 species
GUGGAUUAGAUACCCUGGUAGUCCACGCCGUAAACGAUGAUAACUAGCUGUCCGGGCACUUGGUGCUUGGGUGGCGCAGCUAACGCAUUAAGUUAUCCGCCUGGGGAGUACGGUCGCAAGAUUAAAACUCAAAGGAAUUGACGGGGGCCUGCACAAGCGGUGGAGCAUGUGGUUUAAUUCGAAGCAACGCGCAGAACCUUACCAGCGUUUGACAUCCUCAUCGCGAUUUCCAGAGAUGGAUUUCUUCAGUUCGGCUGGAUGAGUGACAGGUGCUGCACGGCUGUCGCCAGCU